rnacentral:lncRNA from 1 species
AUCAUCAUAUACACGUAACAUACGGUCCUAAUAGGCCAACAUAAUCAUUUAUAAACUCAAAAUAUAGGCCGACAAGGCCGUAAAAUCCUUCCCAUAUAAGACAUAUGUCUACAAGCCUCUAAGAAUACAUAAGUGUCACAAAGAUCGGAACAGAGUCCCGCCAUACCAAACAAUAGACGUCUAAAUCAUACUAACCAAAUACACAGCUCCGAAGCAAAUGGAGCGCACCAACAUCUUCCGCUGAACUGAUAGCCUACUUGGAAGUCUUUCGAUCUAUCUAUCAGGACCUGCGGGCAUGAAACGCAGUGUCCCCAGGCAAAAGGGACGUCAGUACGAAUAAUGUACCGAGUAUGUAAGACACAUAAAUAAAUACUAGGAGACAUGUAAGACACAUGGAGUACAUGACUCAACCCGUACGUCUGAAUAACUUUGUAAAUCAUAAAUUACUUUCAGCGUCAUGCAUAUGCGUAUGAAUGUCAUGUCGUGCAUAAGUAUAUGUUUCAUAACAUCAUCAGCCUCUGAGGGCAUCCCAUCAUAUCAUANNNNNNNNNNNNNNNNNNNNNNNCCUAUAUCCCAUAUAUAUAUAUAUAUAUCUACAUAUAUACGCGUAUAUAACGCCAUUUGAAUACAUACAUAUAUAUGCGUAUAUAACGCCAUUUGAAUACAUACCCAUAUAUGCGUAUAUAACGCUGUUUGAAUACAUACCCAUAUAUGCGUAUAUAACGCUGUUUGAAUCAUAUUUCAGCCACUGUGGGCAACAACAUCAUCAUAUACCAGCUGACCAGGUGGUGGUGCGUAUAUAAUGCCAUAACCUUUUCCCAUAUCCCAUAUACAUAUAUUUACAUAUAUAUGCGUAUAUAACGCCAUCUGGUCAUGAGUUAGUGCACAUGAAUGCAGUGCAUAAAAAGUACGUCAAUAAAAUUAUUCGGAACGUCAUAAGACCAUUUUGCCUCUGAGUAAUAUCAUAAAGUAAACUCUUUUCAACUUUCAUAUUUUUCUAAGACCCAUGAACAGAUGAUAAAAUAUUAUGACACAUGGGAAUUAAAGAACAUAGAUAUUUCUAUUACUUCUAUGAGUAGAUUCACUUAUGGAAUUUGUGCAUUUGCACGUUUCAUUCAUAUCGUAUUGAUCAUGCCAAAAGAAAGAAGGGAUAGCCUUAACAUACCUGGAGUAGGAACAACUCCGUAUAAUUAUCCCAUUGGAAACCUUCGUGGAUUGAAUUUAGAACCCAAAAAUCUAAUUAAGCUUCUGCUUUUAAAAUUCUUGAACGAAACUGCUUCUGCCUCUUUGAAUAUUUUUGAACAAAAUUUCUAAGCUUCUGGAUUCUUGAAGCACUAAACGAAAGAAUGCAACUCCAAUUUCAAGCUUCAAGCUUCUUGAUUUUCUUGCCUUUCUUUGAGGAAUGAGUACGUUAAUCCUUUUUCAAAAUGAAAAAUGGAGACUUUGACAUAUGAUGUAUAUUUGGAACUUAAAGAACGUUCUGACUCCUCCAAAAGAACAUGGAACCAAGACAUUUACCAAGUCUUGCCUUGUUAACAAUUAAUUGAUGUAUGGC